GAUGAACGCUGGCGGUAUGCCUAACACAUGCAAGUCGUACGAGAGUUUUUAACUCUAGUGGCGGACGGGUGAGUAACACGUGAGAAUUUGCCUUUAGGAGGGGGAUAACAAUUGGAAACGAAUGCUAAUACCCCAUAUGCUUUUGAGUGAAAUGGAUUUUAUCCGCCUAAAGUAAAGCUCGCGGCUGAUUAGCUUGUUGGUAAGGUAAGAGCUUACCAAGGCGACGAUCAGUAUCUGGUUUGAGAGGACGAUCAGACACACUGGAACUGAGACACGGUCCAGACUCCUACGGGAGGCAGCAGUGGGGAAUUUUCCGCAAUGGGCGAAAGCCUGACGGAGCAAUACCGCGUGAGGGAAGACUGCCUAUGGGUUGUAAACCUCUUUUUUCAGGGAGGAAUAAAAUGACGUGUACCUGAAGAAUAAGCAUCGGCUAACUCCGUG
rnacentral:rRNA from 1 species